AUUGAACGCUGGCGGCAUGCCUUACACAUGCAAGUCGAACGGCAGCAUGGAGAGCUUGCUCUCUGAUGGCGAGUGGCGAACGGGUGAGUAAUGCCUAGGAAUCUGCCCAUCAGCGGGGGACAACCCGGGGAAACCCGGGCUAAUACCGCAUACGCUCUACGGAGGAAAGCCGGGGACCGCAAGGCCUGGCACUGAUGGAUGAGCCCAAAUCGGAUUAGCUAGUUGGCGGGGUAACGGCCCACCAAGGCGACGAUCCGUAGCUGGUCUGAGAGGACGAUCAGCCACACCGGAACUGAGACACGGUCCGGACUCCUACGGGAGGCAGCAGUGGGGAAUAUUGGACAAUGGGGGAAACCCUGAUCCAGCGACGCCGCGUGGGUGAAGAAGGCCUGCGGGUUGUAAAGCCCUUUCGGUAGGGACGAAAGCUCUUGCUCUAAUAAUGCAAGAGGUUGACUUAACCUACAUAAGAAGCACCGGCUAACUCUGUGCCAGCAGCCGCCGUAA
rnacentral:rRNA from 1 species